GUGUUUGGGGCCAUUCUCUGCUCCUUAAGACCGGGGAGAUCAGGUGUAAUGGGUUAAGGAUAGAGGAAAGAUCAUACUGGAUGCGGGCCAGCCCCAAAUCCGACGAGAGUAUCCUUUUGAGGAGAGGCGGGGACACAAAGACACACACAGAGAAGGCCACGUGAAGAUGCCACAAGCCAGGCAACAUCUGGGGUCCCUGGGAUCUAAGAAGAGGCUGCGAAGAUCCUGCCCUAGAGCCUUAGACCGGAGCCUCGCACUGCUGGCUGACACCUCCACAGCCGUGAGACAUCCAUUUCUGUUGUCUUAAGCCCUCCCAGUUUGCGGCUCUUUGUCACAGCAGCCCGAGAAAACUAAUACACGUCAUCUGGUGCUUUA